rnacentral:ncRNA from 1 species
AUAAAGGGAAUGAUGUUCUCCCGUGGGCUUGCCCAAAACCGCUUGUUAGCUGAUGACGUCUGCGUG